rnacentral:tRNA from 1 species
GGCCCCGUAACAUAAGGGUAAAUGUGCUCGCCUCAUAAGCGAAGAAAAGCGGUUCGAGUCCGCUCGGGGCCA